CUUGGCGGAAGGAAGGAUGGGGAUGUUCACCUCUCAACAAGUCGUAUCCAUGGUGAGAUGCAGAUUAUUCGGUACCUAUCAUGAUGAAGUUCUUACACAUCCACUAAAGGAGCAGGCUGUCUUCCUUAAGGACGAGUUUCUGCAUCUUCUGCGGUUGAGGAAGAAGUACAAGUUAGAUCAACGUUGAAUGGUUUAGGAAUCAAGGAGUUUGAACGACUGUAAGACUCUGGAGGAAAAUGAUUCCGCUGAAGAUGUAACAACAUUAUUUCAGAGCUGUUAUUAUUAUCACAGCAAGUAUCAGUGUAGCAUCGGUGACCACAAGGACAAUGCACUGUGGUUACUUAUGACAUUGUACGAGUAUCCCACAGUACCAAUAUCAGGAGUAUGGGACUCCACUAUGGGAGGUUGAAGACCUUUAUCCAUUCUUUGGACUAAGAAGGGAUACGAGAGAUCGUUGGGAUGCUACCAUUGUAUUCGGCGUGAGAGCAGACACACUGCUGACGUCAUGGACUGUGGUUAGUCGUGACAUAGUCCGAGUGUUGCAUAGAGGUAUGAAGGCACAUCGUCUUGCUCAGUAUACCAUCUUACGUGUAUGAGACUCCACCUUUAUCGUAAGUUGAAGACCGUUGUCCUUUAUUUGGAUCAAUGAGAGAUCGUUAGGAUGCCACCAAUGUAUUCAGCAUGAGAGAGAGGAACAAGGGACAGUUUGACUGUGAGACUCAAGAGAAAAAAUACUCUGCUGAAGAUGGAUUACCAUGUUAUCACAGGUACAGUGUAAAGACUCAGUCAACGACAUUUGGAUAGUGAAAUGUCAAGUUUGUCUCAAAGACUUGAGGAGUUUUGCAAAAAGACGUUGUUGGGCACCAGUAUAGCGUUUCGUGGCCUGAACAUCUUUAGAAAAUAGUGGACACAAAGUAAAACGUUAAAAGUUUCCCACAGUUUAUCAUGAGUACGUCGUCAUUUAUUGGACUAAAUAUGCACCAAAUCUAUAAACAUGAGGUAUACAGGAAAUACUAUUUAUGAAACGGAGCAAUCUAGUUAUAUAUUUCAUUCAACAUAGAGUAAUCCCAAUCCCCGUCUUAGAAAUAAAACAACAAACCCGAUCAAAGAAUUCAAGUAUUUUCUUGGCGCCUUGAGAAGUUUGCAUGUACACAGGUCUAGUCAGGUUUGCAGAGAUACUGUAUGUUUAAAACUCACUCGCUGAAUGGUGGCGGUUCUAAAAAUCAUACCCACCACUACUCCUAGGAGUUUUAUGUACAUUUCAUCUCAGCAAACCACACUAGGUUGUACUCGCAAAGUUUCAAAUCUUACUUAUGUACACAAGUAUUCUGCUAUUGAAAUAUGUUCAUUUGUAGUCUACCCCAGCCAUGUUAUAGUUUUUGUAUAGUUUUAUUAAUGCUUCACACUCUCUUUACUCUAGGUGUUGUUUGAACUACUUUGUAAAAAUUGUUUAUAACUAGCUUCAAAUUUUCUAUUACUUUCUUGGUAACUUUGACAUUUGUUGUUGAAUCUUUAGUUUUAGCAUUUAAUGCUUCUUGUUACAGAUUUAGUUGAAAUAAUUAAAUUGGAUGGAACUAUUCCUUUAAUAUACCGUUGUCAAACAACAAAGUUGGUUCUUUUAGUCUAUACUUUCACUAUAAUCAUGAACAGUGAUAGAAAUAUCUUCUUUUUUGAAAAGAACAAACUCUCAAUAGAACUGGAGAAAAAAGUCUGAAUAACUUUAAAUUGUUUGUUUUUAUUUUACCCUACUCGGAUGUGUGAUAAGCAUUGUAUGCCCCCCUACACCCCAUGCCAUCCUAGAGCAGAUAGCUUACCACUAGACCACAAAUCCUAUACAUAAAUAGCAGUUGCUACCUCAGCAAUAUAAUGGAUG